GUAGUUGAACCUGCGGAGGGAUCAUUACCGAG
rnacentral:rRNA from 1 species